rnacentral:misc_RNA from 1 species
ACUCAAUAACACUUUCUGCUGGCAGAUACUCAAUGGCCAAUUAAAUUUAUUUAUCAUCCCAACCAUCUCUUGACUUGCUCAAGAGUCAAAAACAUGAUAACGUUCCACGAUCCUAGUCGAAAAAAAUUGGGGAGGAAACCCUUAUAAAAAGCAAGUGGUCCCUCGUACUUCAAUGUUCUGAAAAAGCAAUCGAAGGUGUUCCUGUAUACUGAAUCUCCCAUCAUUCUUGACUUGACCACAUCAACUGGAGAACCAAUAGAAACUGCAAAGAAUCCAGCACCUAAACCAGCUAUGAGAUGAGU